rnacentral:rRNA from 1 species
AUUUUUUACAUGAUUUGAGUUCAGACCGGUUUAAGCCAGGUCGGUUUCUAUCUUUUAUUGAAAUAAAGUUUUUUUAGUACGAAAGGACCAAACAAUUUUAAUAGUU